rnacentral:rRNA from 1 species
UACGUAGGGAGCAAGCGUUGUUCGGAUUUACUGGGCGUAAAGGGCGCGUAGGCGGCCAUUCAAGUCAGCUGUGAAAUCUCCGGGCUUAACUCGGAACGGUCAGCUGAUACUGCUUUGCUAGAGUGCGGAAGGGGCAAUCGGAAUUCUCGGUGUAGCGGUGAAAUGCGUAGAUAUCGAGAGGAACACCUGAGGUGAAGACGGGUUGCUGGGCCGACACUGACGCUGAGGCGCGAAAGCUAGGGGAGCGAACGGG